rnacentral:rRNA from 1 species
UUGUCCAGGCAAAUCCGGAUAAUCAAGGCUGAGGUGUGAUGACGAGGCACUACGGUGCUGAAGUAACAAAUGCCCUGCUUCCAGGAAAAGCCUCUAAGCAUCAGGUAACAUCAAAUCGUACCCCAAACCGACACAGGUGGUCAGGUAGAGAAUACCAAGGCGCUUGAGAGAACUCGGGUGAAGGAACUAGGCAAAAUGGUGCCGUAACUUCGGGAGAAGGCACGCUGGUGUGUAGGUGAAGUCCCUGCGGAUGGAGCUGAGACCAGUCGAAGAUACCAGCUGGCUGCAACUGUUUAUUAAAAACACAGCACUGUGCAAACACGAAAGUGGACGUAUACGGUGUGACGCCUGCCCGGUGCCGGAAGGUUAAUUGAUGGGGUUAUCCGUAAGGAGAAGCUCUUGAUCGAAGCCCCGGUAAACGGCGGCCGUAACUAUAACGGUCCUAAGGUAGCGAAAUUCCUUGUCGGGUAAGUUCCGACCUGCACGAAUGGCGUAAUGAUGGCCAGGCUGUCUCCACCCGAGACUCAGUGAAAUUGAACUCGCUGUGAAGAUGCAGUGUACCCGCGGCAAGACGGAAAGACCCCGUGAACCUUUACUAUAGCUUGACACUGAACAUUGAGCCUUGAUGUGUAGGAUAGGUGGGAGGCUUUGAAGCGUGGACGCCAGUCUGCGUGGAGCCAACCUUGAAAUACCACCCUUUAAUGUUUGAUGUUCUAACGUUGGCCCCUUACCGGGGUUGCGGACAGUGUCUGGUGGGUAGUUUGACUGGGGCGGUCUCCUCCCAAAGCGUAACGGAGGAGCACGAAGGUUAGCUAAUCCUGGUCGGACAUCAGGAGGUUAGUGCAAUGGCAUAAGCUAGCUUGACUGCGAGCGUGACGGCGCGAGCAGGUGCGAAAGCAGGUCAUAGUGAUCCGGUGGUUCUGAAUGGAAGGGCCAUCGCUCAACGGAUAAAAGGUACUCCGGGGAUAACAGGCUGAUACCGCCCAAGAGUUCAUAUCGACGGCGGUGUUUGGCACCUCGAUGUCGGCUCAUCACAUCCUGGGGCUGAAGUAGGUCCCAAGGGUAUGGCUGUUCGCCAUUUAAAGUGGUACGCGAGCUGGGUUUAGAACGUCGUGAGACAGUUCGGUCCCUAUCUGCCGUGGGCGCUGGAGAAUUGAGGGGGGCUGCUCCUAGUACGAGAGGACCGGAGUGGACGCAUCACUGGUGUUCGGGUUGUCAUGCCAAUGGCACUGCCCGGUAGCUAAAUGCGGAAGAGAUAAGUGCUGAAAGCAUCUAAGCACGAAACUUGCCCCGAGAUGAGUUCUCCCUGAGACUUUAAGUCUCCUGAAGGAACGUU